rnacentral:rRNA from 1 species
AGAGCGAACGCUGGCGGCAGGCCUAACACAUGCAAGUCAAGCGCCCGUAGCAAUACGGGAGCGGCAGACGGGAUAGUAACACGUGGGAACGCGCCCUUCGGUUCGGAAUAACUCAGGGAAACUUGAGCUAAUACCGGAUACGCCCUUACGGGGAAAGAUUUAUUGCCGAAGGAACGGCCCGCGUCCGAUUAGCUAGUUGGUGAGGUAAUGGGCUCACCAAGGCGACGGAUCGGUAGCUGGU